rnacentral:tRNA from 1 species
GUAUUCAGUAAAAUCUCUGGAAUUUCGAAGGUUUAAAACUAUUUUUAUCCAGAGGGCUAAUCAAAUUAU